AGCGCGAUUUAAAUCAAAUGCACGAGGAAAAGCGGGAGCAUGUGCUGCUUCCUGCAGCAUUUCGCCGGGCAGCUCUGUCCACGUCUGAAGUAACCUGAAAUAAUGGAAAGAUGGCGGUGUUGAUGACUGCGUGUGACUGAAAACCGGCGUCUCCAUUUAUGGACCACACUUUAAGAAAGUCUUGAAUUAUCCAAGACAGGGACGGUCUCCGAACGAGAUUGGAGGAAACGCUGUCCCCACCCUCGCUUGUCCGAUGG